UGGUUUACCAAUUGAAUUGGGCUCAAUCAACUACAAGCAAAUGGGCUUGUUUUGUUCAGCUCUUCUGUUAAACCAAGCAAAGUAGCCUGCAGAUUUACGGGUUUGGGAACCAGGGUUUUGAAGAGAUGGCAGCUACAAUUGCAGCAAGAUCUUCAUUUCUUCGUCCAGUCUUAAGAACAGCAACAGCAUCAAGAAUCUCAUUUUCGGUUCCCAAUUCUUCACUUCGUUCCACUUCCACUCGUCCUUCUACCCGCCUUUCUCCAUACUUUUUUUAAAUGUUUCUUUGUUAAUAGAAUGAAUUGGGUUUUUUUUUUCCUUGUAUAUGUCACUGGACGGUGAUUUUGGUUCCUUUGGGUUCUGUGUUAAAGGUUGGUUCGACGAGAACUGAGCACUCUUCAACCGGUUCACAGUGCGGUUGCAUCGGCUUGCCUUGUUUCCAAGCUUCCCCGUGAUGCCAACAAUUGUGCUGAAGGUCGAUUUGCUAACUAUCUUAUUCCCAUCUAACAGCAAGUGCAUGUAGAAGUGGUGCUACUUACUUUAUUUUGUACAUCAGAAUUCAGCUUUUCAGGAUCAAUUGGCUUGUAACCUGUUUAUUUAAGAUACUCUUGAGUAUCUCCUCUUUGUUUUGUGAUGAUUCUAACUUAGCUUUGGGUGAUGGUUCUUUUGCUAUAUGUUUUAAAUCAUCUAAAUAGAUAGAGAAAUGAAUCCAAGUUUGCAUCCAGUUUUGAUCUGCUGGAUGUUGGUGAAUGCUACCGGUACUUCAUUUUUGCUGAUUGAUACGAUAUGAGUUCUAAAGAUGUUUCAACUAGAAAAAUCUUGUUGUACUUGCUGCAGACAUAUACCCCGUCUUUGACACUCGAAUUCAGCAGCAUAGCUGGAGAGUAAUGUGACAAUGUGUGCGAUUGAACUGAAACAGAAAGGACCCUUAAUUAGAACGGUUUUGAGGUGGGUGGCACGAUGAUGUUUUAAGUGUUUCGUAGCCUUCAAGGGUCCUUAUACGCACAAGCAUACAUGAUUAUAGAUGUUCGAACAAAAGCUGGAUAUGAGAGAGAAAGCAGACUGGGAUUAUCUUUCUUGCUGCUUCACCUCAAGUGCUUGACAGGCUUUUAACAGCCAUGAAAGACCUGGUUCCAGCUUUGUGGCUCCACAAAAUAUAUAAAGGGCUAUCCUCCAAAAUUGAAAUAGUUGAAAAAGUAAGGACUCAAGUCCAUGGCAGUAUUGAAUUAUACUUGCCCUACCUAGCAGCAUCCUUGCCCCCCUCGCUAAAGGUCAUACAUAUUGUGACAAGCAGAACUCAACAUGGGAAAAUGAAAAGGAAGAAAAAUGAAGAAAAAACUGUGAGUGUGAGAAAUGCCUUAGAGUUCAGUGGAUGACGAAUCACUUCCCAUUUUAAUUUACCUUGAGAAUAAAGCAGUUCUCUUUUUCUUAUGAUCAGAUUGCACCUGUAUUCUUACUUUCUGGGUAUUGAUUGAAAACCUUGUAAUCCAUGUAUUUAUGUAAUUUUUGUGA